rnacentral:piRNA from 1 species
UGCCAUUGCAUACCUGAUCCAGUCUUUG